GAUGAACGCUGGCGGCGUGCCUAAUACAUUCAAGUCGAGCGAACAGACGAGGAGCUUGCUCCUCUGACGUUAGCGGCGGACGGGUGAGUAACACGUGGAUAACCUACCUAUAAGACUGGGAUAACUUCGGGAAACCGGAGCUAAUACCGGAUAAUAUAUUGAACCGCAUGGUUCAAUAGUGAAAGACGGUUUUGCUGUCACUUAUAGAUGGAUCCGCGCCGCAUUAGCUAGUUGGUAAGGUAACGGCUUACCAAGGCAACGAUGCGUAGCCGACCUGAGAGGGUGAUCGGCCACACUGGAACUGAGACACGGUCCAGACUCCUACGGGAGGCAGCAGUAGGGAAUCUUCCGCAAUGGGCGAAAGCUUGACGGAGCAACGCCGCGUGAGUGAUGAAGGUCUUCGGAUCGUAAAACUCUGUUAUUAGGGAAGAACAAAUGUGUAAGUAACUAUGCACGUCUUGACGGUACCUAAUCAGAAAGCCACGGCUAACUACGUG
rnacentral:rRNA from 1 species